AUUGAACGCUGGCGGCAGGCUUAACACAUGCAAGUCGAGCGAGCGGCGGACGGGUGAGUAAUGUCUGGGAAACUGCCUGAUGGAGGGGGAUAACUACUGGAAACGGUAGCUAAUACCGCAUACCAUCAGAUGUGCCCAGAUGGGAUUAGCUAGUCGGGUGGGGAAGGGCUCACCUAGGCGACGAUCCCUAUCUGGUCUGAGAGGAUGACCAGCCACACUGGAACUGAGACACGGUCCAGACGCCUACGGGAGGCAGCAGUGGGGAAUAUUGCACAAUGGGCGCAAGCCUGAUGCAGCCAUGCUGCGUGUGUGAAGAAGGCCUUCGGGUUGUAAAGCACUUUCAGCGAGGAGGCGUUACUCGCAGAAGAAGCACCGGCUAACUCCGUGCCAGCCGCCGCGGUAAUAC
rnacentral:rRNA from 1 species